CCUACGGGAGGCAGCAGUGGGGAAUAUUGCACAAUGGGGGAAACCCUGAUGCAGCGACGCCGCGUGAGCGAAGAAGUAUUUCGGUAUGUAAAGCUCUAUCAGCAGGGAAGAAAAUGACGGUACCUGAGUAAGAAGCUCCGGCUAAAUACGUGCCAGCAGCCGCGGUAAUACGUAGGUGGCAAGCGUUAUCCGGAUUUACUGGGUGUAAAGGGCGUGUAGGCGGGAGUGCAAGUCAGAUGUGAAAACUAUGGGCUCAACCCAUAGCCUGCAUUUGAAACUGUACUUCUUGAGUGCUGGAGAGGCAA
rnacentral:rRNA from 1 species